rnacentral:lncRNA from 1 species
CUUUAAAUUCAAUGAAUUCAUUAAAAUGGUAAUGUUAUUGGGUAAUUCUUUUAAGAAAUGGCUCACCAAUUAAGUGUAUUCCAGGUCCUCCUACCUUGAACAAAAAAUUGAACAAGACAAGCCAAAAGCAGUGGCAAAACUUUAUUUGAAAAGCGGGUGAGGGAGAAACUGGCUCUGCAGAGCAAACUCGGGCCAAUCAAGAGAGGAAAAAAGAAAAGUGAAAAUAAAAGUACACCCUGGGUCUGGGAGCCUCAGGGUGGAUUACCAUGAAGAGUCAUGGAUAGCAGGCUCCUUAUAUGUCUUCCACAUCUUGUGGGAACCCACAAGAAGUUCUGCAUAUGGGGGCCUGAGAGGCGGUGCUGUGUCGAUCCUGGGUCCUACCAUGCCUCUCUUUCCAGCCAGCCUAAGCCAUGCCCUGUUUCUUAUCUCCUUAACAGAUUAUUUGUCCAAGACACAGAUUUGACGAUUCCACACAUACACACACCUUCUUCAGUGGCUCUCAGUUUCACAUGGAUAAGCUUGAUGUUCGAGCUUUCUUUGAUCUAAAACAAGCCUGCAUUUCCACCAUUCUUUCCAGAGGAAUUCUUGAGCUAAAGUAGGUUUACAGCUUUUCUAGAAGUACCCACACAUUACAUUUACCUAAUCUUGUCUUCUAGAAUGCCUAUUUCCCAGCUUUGCCUCUUGUAGGCCUAUGUAAUCCUGCACUAUUCAAGUCUUAUCUCCCCCACAACAAAUAGCCAGGUCCCUAGACCUUAAUGAACCCCCAUGGCUUCUGUUUUCUCAAUAAACUUUCUUAUUACUUUUAAGGGUCAAUUUCAUUUGAAUGAUUUCACCUGUGACCCUUAGUACAGAAGAUUUGAAAUUUUACCCAUCUUGAUUGAAGACCACCUCCCCAGCAUUUAGAGUAAAGCCUUGUUCACAGCUCCAUGGCUGUUAUUCAGUGACUACCCA